rnacentral:lncRNA from 1 species
UAUGUAAUCUUAGUUGUAUUGUUACUAUAGUAGGCAUUGUUAUUAUAGUAGACUUAUCUCUUGUAUUAUAUAAUUUCAUCAAUAGAACUUAAGAGGGUAUGUUCUUUUACCCUUCUUUCAUGGUAUCAGAGAGGGAACCCUAAUUUGGGGAUAUCAAUCUAUAGUUACUAUCCACCACAAGUCUCACCUUCUUCCAUAGGUGCCUUUUCUUUUGGUGUUCUAUCUCCCCUUAUCCUUAGACAUUUUUCUCCCCGGUACUACUACAGUACUGGCGCUACAGUACUGCUACAGUCAUCGUACAGUACUGGUGCUAUAGUACCCUACAGUACCGGCACUACAGUAGUGCUACAGUGGUCAUGCUACAGUAAUUUCAACCUCAUUGAAUUUCUUCUUAUCUCGUUGGUACUGCUUGUUGGUGUCGCCUGUUUAAUCUCAAGUACCGCCGAUUCAUCUCGGGUUCAACUCUAACUCAUUUUUCCUCUUUCCUCUAGAUCUAUGAUUAUUUGGUCUAUUUUUUGGAUUUGUCUCUCUCGCGAUGAAUUUUUUUUUUCUCUUGGUGGUAACAUGUCUUCCUCUUCAAACCUGCUAGUGGUUAACAUCAAAACUUUCAUACCACUUGAACUCACGGGUUCUACAUAUUUAGUGUGGAAAUAAAUCUUUCUUAAUGUUUCGGAGAGUUUUGUUGUUACUUCGCAUGUGGACGGAACUGGUACUAUACCGCCUCAAACUAUUGAAAC